rnacentral:tRNA from 1 species
AUCUGUUUGGAGUUGUGGUUACUGCGCUCGGCUGUGGUUCCGGGUGACGUGGGUUCGAUUCCCCCUACCAGAUG